CUUAAUUCCUCUCACUAAAAGGAAAGAAAGUAAGGUGCUGUGCAAGCAUUCAGCAAUUUAUGCAAGACAUCUCUCGCAACCAUGGCAACCACCCUUUUGCCACACAUGACCUGCCCACUUGCGCGCGCACGUUUGAUUUGAGGAAUUCAAGAGGCACGGAUCCUAGGAAUACCAAAACAAUGGCAGAGAAACAGCAAGCAAAAUUCAUAGUACCGGCCUAUGCAGUUACUGAAGGCAAACCAGGCAAAAAAAGGAAGACAGUAACAGUACAAGAAAAGGCAAUGAACAAAAAGUCUUUGGAUAAACAAAGAAAUAAAAUUCGAGUUAAUAUCGGCGUGGCUUUCCAGCGAUGGCGAGAACUGAGGGAACUCAAGGGGCUGAAAAGUGACUCCUUGAUGGCUUUAUUUCUGCUGGACAGUUAUGAGAAAGACAUAUCAACGUCCACACCAUCGAAAAGUGGAUUUACAAUGGCACCACCACCUGUAUCCACUAUUGUCUCGGAGUCGCUUUCUGACCGGUGAGACUUGUAUGUUGUGUCGUUCAGUGAACGAGUGACAGUUUUUAUAACAAUCAACAUGUUUAUCUGUUUUUAUUGUCAUUUUUCCAGAGAUGAUGACUUCUCAGUCCCUGGAGUUGAAGAGUUGGAUAGUAGCAGCGUACAGGAUAAAAACAUUCAUGAAUUAGAUGCAAGGUAUUGAUUAGUGAGACAUUUGUAUACAUUUCACAAUCCUCUCCAGGGUGCGGUUAUCCCUAUUGCUUGUACACUUUUUUCUACCACAUCUUUUCCUUCCCUUCGCCUCUCUAUUAAUGUGCUUGGACACAGAGCUCUGUGAACAGCCAGCCUCUUUUGCAAUGACCUUUUGUGUCUUGCCUUGUUGUUUUAUCUUAUUCUAUUACUUUUUUUUUAUUGUGUUUAUCUUUUUAUCCUAUUGUGUCUUUUAUUGUUGUUGUGUACAGCACUUUGGAAACCUUGUGUUAUUUAAAUUGUGCUAUAUAAAUAAAGCGGAUUGGAUUGGAUUGGAUUGCCCUCCU
ensembl:lncRNA